AUUGAACGCUGGCGGCAUGCCUUACACAUGCAAGUCGAACGGCAGCACGGGAGCAAUCCUGGUGGCGAGUGGCGAACGGGUGAGUAAUGUAUCGGAACGUGCCCAGUAGUGGGGGAUAGCCCGGCGAAAGCCGGAUUAAUACCGCAUACGACCUACGGGUGAGAGCGGGGGAUCGCAAGACCUCGCGCUAUUGGAGCGGCCGAUAUCAGAUUAGCUAGUUGGUGGGGUAAAGGCCUACCAAGGCGACGAUCUGUAGCUGGUCUGAGAGGACGACCAGCCACACUGGGACUGAGACACGGCCCAGACUCCUACGGGAGGCAGCAGUGGGGAAUUUUGGACAAUGGGCGCAAGCCUGAUCCAGCCAUGCCGCGUGCGGGAAGAAGGCCUUCGGGUUGUAAACCGCUUUUGUCAGGGAAGAAACGCGCUAAGUUAAUACCUCGGCGUAAUGACGGUACCUGAAGAAUAAGCACCGGCUAACUACGUGCCAGCAGCCGCGGUAAGAC
rnacentral:rRNA from 1 species